rnacentral:tRNA from 1 species
GGGGCCAUAGCUCAAGGCAGAGCGCUUCGAAAGAAGAGGUGGGCGGUUCGAUUCCGCUCUGGUUCCACCA